UACCUCAGUAACGGCGAGUGAAGCGGUAACAGCUCAAAUUUGAAAUCUGGCCUCACGGUCCGAGUUGUAAUUUGUAGAGGAUGCUUCGAGCAUGGUCUGGCCUAAGUUCCUUGGAACAGGACGUCAUAGAGGGUGAGAAUCCCGUAUGCGGUCAGGUGCCUACGCUCAUGUGAAGCUCCUUCGACGAGUCGAGUUGUUUUGGAAUGCAGCUCAAAAUGGGUGGUAAAUUUCAUCUAAAGCUAAAUAUUGGCCAGAGACCGAUAGCGCACAAGUAGAGUGAUCGAAAGAUGAAAAGCACUUUGGAAAGAGAGUUAAACAGUACGUGAAAUUGUUGAAAGGGAAGCGCUUGCAACCAGACUUGCGCGCCGCCGAUCAUCCGGUGUUCUCACCGGUGCACUCGGCCGUGCUCAGGCCAGCAUCGGUUUCCGCGGGUUGGAUAAAGGCCUCAAGAAUGUGGCUCCUCUCGGGGGAGUGUUUAUAGCCUGGGGGUGCAAUGCAGCCUGCUGGGACCGAGGACCGCGCUUCCGGCUAAGGAUGCUCUGCGUUAAUGGUUGUAAGCGG
rnacentral:rRNA from 1 species